rnacentral:lncRNA from 1 species
AAUCAUCUCACCACACAAUCACUUGUUACUAACAAUUUCAGUGCUUGCAGAUAUUUUCUUGCUGAAAACCACUUGUCAGAUCCUUCUGCUCCUCGUUGGGUUCGAUACUCUUACUUAUCGAAAGGACUACGAUUGAUCCCCUAUACUUCUGGGUCAUGAAGACUCUUUUCUGGCGCCGUUGCCGGGGAGUGAAGCGCCUUUGCACUACAAGAAAACAGACUUUAAGUAACACAAUCAUGUAACAGAUUGUAAAAUGUGUUACAAGUGAAAUUGCUGUAACACAUCAUUUUGUGUCCAACGAUAGGCAAUAACACAGACUAUAUAAGACAUCAAAAUGUGUUACAUCAAUAUUACAACUGUAACAUAUAAAUAUGUGUUGGUCGAAUGUGUUACAUAGAUUUUGAUAUGGUAACAUAUAAAUAUGUGUUACUCAAAUGUGUUACGUGUUAGUACCACAUAAGCAUGGUUGAUACAUAUUGUUACAUGUUCUAUUAUUUUAGGGGAACUAGAAAAAUCUAAAAUCAACUGCAUACAUAGAUCACAAAUACCUUUAACAUAUAGGACGCAUAUGUCAAUAUGAUUUUUUAUAAAUAUGUUAUUAUCUUGGUAAAUAGUGUUUGCAUUCUUUGGUAAUAUGGUAUGAAAAAACAAUAUAGUUUGGUUGGUAAAUACCAAACUAUUUUUGGUAUGGUUGCAGUGUAUUGACCAUAUUUUUAUGUGAAUUUUAGGAUGACUCGAUGGCCAUAACUUUGAAAUGAUCAUAUGAAAUUUAGUAUUUGAUGUCAAUACUCACAAAGGAGUGGAAGACCAACAACACACGAGAGCUUAAAUUUGGGCAUCGUUUUAAGAACUGGACCGACGGUUUCACUUGAAAAAGAAGGAACCAAGGCCUCGUCCGGGUUUUUAAGGUGUCGGUCUUUCAACGAAAAAAUGGUAAGGUAUUAAAAAUUGUGUUUCUUCAAUGAAUUAAAAAACUCAUGUGAAACUAGGAAUCACAACAUUGACCUUAAGCCGCCGCAUGGCCAAUGACCCAAUACCAACUGGGUUCGAUUUUUAUGAUCGGUCGAGGGUGAAGUAGAAAGUCAUGCAUUUUUUCAAAAGAAAAUUGCCUCAAAAAAUAUUCAAAAGAAAAAAUUGGCAUGCGACACACCAGACACCUCAGCAGCGACAUUUGGCAGGCCGCGCGAGGCCUCGCUCUCCUUCUCCUGGCAUUAGGCGUGAGGCGGCAUGGAACAAGAGAUCGAGAAAAGGUUGCCUCGAAAAUGAGACGUUUUAAGAGUGAGUAUAAAAGACUAGAGUUCGGAAAAUAACGACAAAUUAGUAUAGGACAACACUAAUUUGUCGUUAUUUACUUAAAGAUUCUCCAACACAAUUAAGUACACAUUUACUUAAAGAUUCUUCAACACAAUUAAGUACACAUCAAGGGAGCGGCACUAACUUUUUUACUUGGAAUGAAUUGAGAUAGAAAAACUAAAAAAGGAAGAUGAACCCACUUAAAGAUGAACUGGCGCUGAACCGCCGCGCCCGUUGCAUACAUAUACAAAGUAAUACGGUGGAAGGCACUGACUGUUUUCACGGAAUUGUGGAAUUGUGUCCAGACCUCGGAGCCAUGGUGUGCAAUAUUAUUUGAGAAAUAUGUUAGUUGAAUAUGGUUUUUUCCAUUGAGCACAAAGUAAACAAAAACACAUAUGCAAUCUCUUAAUUCAUUGGUUUGGCAGGUGCACUCACCGUGUAGUCACUUAGUUUCAUAGGUUUUUUAGUUGGGUUCCUAUUACCAAGGAAUGCAGAGCCAGCUAAAGACCAAAACAACAAAGUUCUUAGCGCUCGUACUUAAAUUUGAUUAACUACAUUUUACCUUUUGGAUUGAAAUAUAUGCAGAGCCAGCUAAAGACCAAGGUUUGGAACUUCAUCAGCAGCUUAGCAUAACAUGGGUCUCUUCUAAGCAAUUAUAUAAUGGAAUACAAAAAGUAAAAACAACAUUAGAACAUCUAGAGUACAAAGGCACAGUCCUGUAUAUCGUGAUAGAACUCCACACAAAGGAAUAACAACAGUAAGCUUACAAUUUUGUUCUCUUCUUUUGAAGUGGAGCUUUGUAGAUUAAAAUAAAACAUCUUAUAAUCAACCAGAAGUUGGUUCUGUACGGAGGUGGAAUUGUAUUUUAUAAGACGCCUUAACUCAAACACAUGAUUACCUAACUUGGCCAAGCCAUGAAACAUUGCAUUAGCAGGUUGACAAAUCCUCAAAUUUAGUAGUAUGCAGGAACGGCGAAGAGUCUCCAACUUCCAAAUUAGUAUUGCGAAGUCGAGACAUAUUGUGCACUGCAUUUUUCAACAUAGAAACCACAACUAAACAAUCAAGACUCCAGAAUGAUGGGAUGAAUUGCAACUGACAUCUGUACUUUUAGGUUUUAAAGUCAAGCAAUAGUUUUAGCUUCUUCAGCCUCGAGUUAUAGCAUUGUAGAGAAGAAUAGUCCUACAAUAUGAUAGACCCAUCAGGAUUACAGCAGUAGCAUCAUAACCUGCAUCCAAAUUGAGGUUAAAUUAUAAAAUGGUGUACUUCACUGAAAACUCUGAAAAAAAGAUUAGCAGUUUUGUAUGAAGAAAUAAAUCCAUCUGCUCCAAGUUCUAUAGAGGUAACCCGUGCUUAAAUUAUUAUCGUACUGCUCGUUGAUAAAACACCCCAAAAUUAGAAAAUUUCUUCUCUUCUAUUUGAGAAGUAAGAUAGAUUGGUUAUCACUAGCAAAAAUGCCCGUGCGUUGCAUCGGGAAAAAAUAAAAUAUCAUGUGACGCAAUAAUACAAAAAAAUACAAAUUAAUGUUGCAUAUAUAACAAAAUAUAGCAGGCUCCUAACGGAGAAACAACGGUCAUAUGAUGAUAUCAAGUAGCAGCACACAUUUUCCAUGCACACAACCUGCAAGUGAUUUGGUUUCAAAAAGCAAAGUCUAGAUCAUGCAACAUUUUUUUUACGAGAAAGAUUCAGUUUACACCUGGCACAACGUCUAGAUCCACCCCUUAUUUUCCAUGACUCACACGAUCGGCGCGCGAGAUCGGUCUCAGUUCACGCCUCACGACGUAGGACUUGCAAGCCAGAGUGCAGAUUUUGUUUUCCUCUCAAAGAUUGGGGUUUGGUAGGGUUCAUGUUCCACUGGAUGCGCUCUUUCUCGCGUUAGUGAAUUAUACGUGAAAUUGUUACUUUUUGUACCACUGGAAUGGCUCUUUCUCGGAUUAAAGCUAUGUGUGUGUGCUCAUGUUUGCAGGGCGGUGCUUCUGGAGCUGUAGGGCACAUUCUCAUUCGUCUUGGAGUUAGCUGAUGUUCUUGUGAGUCAGAAUAAAGUAAUUUUAUCCGCCCUUAGAGCUGCUCAGUUAUGGAGGACAUCCAGGUUUUAGUUCAGGCUGAAGACAGCCAAGCUUGGUUCAUGGAGUGACAAAGGACAAAACUAACAUAUCUUCAUAUAAUGCCUUAAACAGACUUGGUUCAUGGAGUGUCAAUAUGAAUCACCAAAUACCAAAUACCAAUCCCUAAUUAUUUUCGCUAAUCCCAAGCAACAAGGGAAGGCCAAGGAAUUGAACACUUGUGUAUUCAAAUUUAGAAGAAAAAAAAUUAAAGCCUACAACCUUACUUUGGCUGUAUCAUAUCAGGGCACAGGAGAGGGAAGAAGAUAAGGACUCACCAGUGGCGGAGUAGGGGAGGCCAGAGGCGGACUGGCGUCUGACUGAGCGAGCCGCGCCGCCACGGAAGCCGGAGGGCGAAACCCUCCACCGGCCGGCCGGCUGGAGGCCUGGAGCCCGGAGGCAGGCGAGGGAGAGGGCCGCCCCCCCGGUCAAAGCCCGGAGGGGAGGGGACUGAGGGGCGAGGCGAGGGAGCUAGGAGAUGGCCGGCCUGGGCGCCUGAGCGGACCGAGGGACGAGGCGAGAGUCUGAAUCGGGGGAGGGAGCUAGCAGGUAGGUUAGGGGAAAAAGGGAUCGAUUUAACUAGGGCAGGGAAAGACACUGAGGCCGCGCUUGGAUGGGG